UAUGAGAGCUUUUUGUUUAUCAUUCCGGACCCUAUCCGUUGAUUUUCUGAUUUUGUGAUGUCUUCUACGAAGUAGUUGAGAGGGUCGGUCGUGCCGUUGGUGCUUUGAAGUAAACCAGGAGAAUACAAAGAUGCCCCCGAAGACCAAUAAGGCAUUGUGGGCCAUUGAAACCUUGGCCUCUGACCUUCUCCUCCUUUUCUCGUUCAGUUGCUCAACUGGCCUCUUCUUACGUGGCCAAGCGUCAAAUGCAUGACUCUAAAAUACACCGAGAAAUAGAAUCUCCCCGAAAGUCUGCAGAUAAUGGAUAUUUGAAGCAUACACCGGAAGAGAAGAGUGAACAGUCUGUUUCUUCUGAUGAAGAAGGGCUUGAAUAUGUAAAUUUACUGGAGUUCGACCUAUACAUGUGAAGGGAGUGGUUCAAACAGAUUUUGCAUUCUUUGAUCCAAAACCCAACGCCUUUACGGAGUGAAGACCUUGCUGCAAACCUACCUUGAUACUAAGUAAUGGGAUUUGAGUGGUUUUGUUGACUUGAUAUUGGGACAGACCACGGUGGGGACUGUAGUUAAAAUAGAGGGGGAUGAAGAUGAUGGAGUUUUUGCUCUUGUGACUGUGCUAAACUUGCAAAGAUAUUAGGCAAGCAACAAAUACCUCUAAAUCCUAACAGUAUUUGCUGCCACAUCUUUCUCCCUAUUUUUUCUUGUUUGGCUUAUGUAGUUCUUCAAUGCCUGACCCUACUGUAUAGUCUCCUGGCAUCUUUUCUUCUAUGUGGUAUCUAUUUACAACGGUCAACAUGUUGUCAAAAACUUUCUGCCAUACUAAAGUGGUAGGAGUGGGCUGCCAUAUAGCUAGAUGUUUUGUCUGUUCAGUUUACUGCUGUUUUAGGAAUGGCAAUCUGCGGGUUUCAGAUGGGUUGACACAAAAUUGAAUCCAACUGAUAUUAAGAAAUGAUAGAAAUUUUGAGGAGCUGAAAACAUUCUUUUUCAA